CAGCAGUAGCCGCGGGAAUACGUAGGUGGCAAGCGAUGUCCGGAAUUAUUGGGCGUAAAGGGCUCGCAGGCGGUUUCUUAAGUCUGAUGUGAAAGCCCCCGGCUCAACCGGGGAGGGUCAUUGGAAACUGGGAAACUUGAGUGCAGAAGAGGAGAGUGGAAUUCCACAUGUAGCGGUGAAAUGCGUAGAGAUGUGGAGGAACACCAGUGGCGAAGGCGACUCUCUGGUCUGUAACUGACGCUGAGGAGCGAAAGCGUGGGGAGCGAACAGGAUUAGAUACCCCCGUAGUCCCUGUCUCUUAUAC
rnacentral:rRNA from 1 species